UACAGAGGGUGCGAGCGUUAAUCGGAAUUACUGGGCGUAAAGCGCACGUAGGUGGAUAUUUAAGUCGGAUGUGAAAUCCCUGGGCUUAACCUAGGAAUUGCACCCGAUACUGGCUAUCUCGAGUAUGGUAGAGGGUAGUGGAAUUUCCGGUGUAGCGGUGAAAUGCGUAGAUAUCGGAAGGAACACCAGUGGCGAAAGCGGCUACCUGGACCAAUACUGACACUUAGGUGCGAAAGCGUGGGGAGCAAAC
rnacentral:rRNA from 1 species